CGGGGCGUAGCGCAGCCUGGUAGCGCACCACACUGGGGGUGUGGGGGUCGCGAGUUCAAAUCUCGCCGUCCCGACCA
rnacentral:tRNA from 1 species